rnacentral:rRNA from 1 species
CAGAGGGGGCGAGCGUUAUUCGGAAUUAUUGGGCGUAAAGGGCGCGUAGGCGGCCUUUCAAGUGACGGGUGAAAUCCCUCGGCUUAACCGAGGAACUGCCUGUCAGACUGGAAGGCUUGAGACCGGGAGAGGUGAGUGGAAUUCCCAGUGUAGCGGUGAAAUGCGUAGAUAUUGGGAGGAACACCAGUGGCGAAGGCGGCUCACUGGACCGGUACUGACGCUGAGGCGCGAAAGCGUGGGGAGCAAACAGGAUUAGAUACCCUGGUAGUCCACGCCGUAAACGAUGAGUGCUUGGUGUAGCGGGUAUCGACCCCUGCUGUGCCGAAGUCAACACAUUAAGCACUCCGCCUGGGGAGUACGGUCGCAAGACUG